UCUCCUCGGCCAGAACGGACAGUGUGUGAACGAGCAGCUACAAGUUCAUCCUUGGCGCAAGAAAUGUGAGCGUUGGUUGGCUAGUGUCUCUUACAGUAAUACAGCCAUCCUUCACUAUAGUCGCCUAAUUCCCAAAGUCACUGAAGAUUGUGCUGUUGCUGAGGUUUGCUUCUGCGCUGUUCCGUGUGGGGGGAGAUCGGUUGCAGCAUUGGACAUCAAGGAGAAGCACUGGGCCUGUUGCCAGCUCACUACUACCCCACCCUGGAGCCUGCAGAAGAAGAGAGAGCGAGAGAGAGCGAGAGAGGACUGCAUCUCCGGAGGGCAAUGCAAAGGACGAAGCUCGCCGCCCGCUCAUUCACUCAUUGGCUCCCAGCAGCAGCCUUAACUAACCUGACAACACUUGCAAACAUGGGAGGUAUAGCACACAGCACAUAUGAUCAUACACUCUACAGUACUACAUUCAAAACGCUAUAUUCAAAAAUAAUGUGGUUGUGUGUCUUAGUUUUCAUUAGAAAUUGUUGUUGUUUGAAUUUUAAGAAAAAUGCUAUUUAAAUGGCUUAUACUGUAUUGCCAUUUAGUUUUGGAAAAGAAAAUUUGGUGUCUGAGAGGGGAAAGUCUAGAACAGGUACAUUAAGUUUGCAGUACCAAACAUUGCAUUGCAGUACCAAAAGUCUGCAGUGGGACACCAUUUGUUUUUCAUUCACAUAUUUCACAGUGUGCUGCCGCACUGCAUGCACAGUGCAGAGCAGUGUCAAUUCAACACUUAGAGAGUAUCCUGGGGCCAGAUACACUCUAGAAAGAUUUUAAAUCAACUCUGAGUGUUGAAUUAACAUUGCAUUUUUUUACUGUGUGGCGUAAGGAAUGCUGUGGAGGACUGUUUCCCUUGCCCUGACCACACCACAAAACCAUUGUCUGGCGUUAGUCUGUCUUUUCACUGCUCAUUAGUGUCGAGCGGCAGCAUUUCAGUCUUUGCCUUCCAAUCAAUUUGAAAGCCUGUUACCAAAUGGUUAAGAGCUACAGUUUUGUUUUUCACCUUUGUUGAUGUAAUAUUUUUCUCCCACAUAUAUUUUUUUAAAGUUGCAGUGUGAGCACUUUAAGAGAAAGGAUAGCGCCAUUAGCCAAAUUAUGUGAGAAGCUGAAAGAGAAUGAUUUAUUUUUUCUUCUUCCGAGAAUGCUUAGCGUGUGACUGCUUUGACUUAAUUUGUGAAGUAUUGUUAAGUGCGCAUGAAACAAGUUUCUUUCAAGCUAUCCU